CACGUAGGGCGCAAGCGUUGUCCGGAUUUAUUGGGCGUAAAGAGCUCGUAGGCGGUGUGUCGCGUCGGCCGUGAAAACCUGCAGCUUAACUGUGGGCUUGCGGUCGAUACGGGCAUCACUGGAGUUCGGCAGGGGAGAGCUGGAAUUCCUGGGUAGUACGCGGGUAAAUGCGCAGAUAUCAGGAGGAACACCGGUGGCGAAGGCGGGUCUCUGGGCCGAUACUGACGCUGAGGAGCGAAAGCGUGGGGAGCGAACAGGA
rnacentral:rRNA from 1 species